GAAAUGCGAUAAGUAGUGUGAAUUGCAGAAUUCAGUGAAUCAUCGAAUCUUUGAACGCACAUUGCGCCCGCCAGUAUUCUGGCGGGCAUGCCUGUUCGAGCGUCAUUUCAACCCUCAAGCCCCCGGGUUUGGUGUUGGGGAUCGGCGAGCCUCACGGCAAGCCGGCCCCGAAAUACAGUGGCGGUCUCGCUGCAGCUUCCAUUGCGUAGUAGUAAAACCCUCGCAACUGGUACGCGGCGCGGCCAAGCCGUUAAACCCCCAACUUCUGAAUGUUGACCUCGGAUCAGGUAGGAAUACCCGCUGAACUUAA
rnacentral:misc_RNA from 1 species